rnacentral:rRNA from 1 species
AUACGGAGGAUGCAAGCGUUAUCCGGAUUUAUUGGGUUUAAAGGGAGCGUAGGCGGACGCUUAAGUCAGUUGUGAAAGUUUGCGGCUCAACCGUAAAAUUGCAGUUGAUACUGGGUGUCUUGAGUACAGUAGAGGCAGGCGGAAUUCGUGGGGUAGCGGUGAAAUGCUUAGAUAUCACGAAGAACUCCGAUUGCGAAGGCAGCUUGCUGGACUGUAACUGACGCUGAUGCUCGAAAGUGUGGGUAUCAAACAGGAUUAGAUACCCUGGUAGUCCACACAGUAAACGAUGAAUACUCGCUGUUUGCGAUAUACAGUAAGCGGCCAAGCGAAAGCGUUAAGUAUUCCACCUGGGGAGUACGCCGGCAACGGUGAAACUCAAAUGAAUUGGCGGGG